rnacentral:rRNA from 1 species
GCCCCAAAUAAAUGCAAAGUCGAGCCGAAUGGAUUAAGAGCUUGCUCUUAUGAAGUUAGCGGCGGACGGGUGAGUAACACGUGGGUAACCUGCCCAUAAGACUGGGAUAACUCCGGGAAACCGGGGCUAAUACCGGAUAACAUUUUGAACCGCAUGGUUCGAAAUUGAAAGGCGGCUUCGGCUGUCACUUAUGGAUGGACCCGCGUCGCAUUAGCUAGUUGGUGAGGUAACGGCUCACCAAGGCAACGAUGCGUAGCCGACCUGAGAGGGUGAUCGGCCACACUGGGACUGAGACACGGCCCAGACUCCUACGGGAGGCAGCAGUAGGGAAUCUUCCGCAAUGGACGAAAGUCUGACGGAGCAACGCCGCGUGAGUGAUGAAGGCUUUCGGGUCGUAAAACUCUGUUGUUAGGGAAGAACAAGUGCUAGUGAAUAAGCUGGCACCUUGACGGUACCUAACCAGAAAGCCACGGCUAACUACGUGCCAGCAGCCGCGGUAAUACGUAGGUGGCAAGCGUUAUCCGGAAUUAUUGGGCGUAAAGCGCGCGCAGGUGGUUUCUUAAGUCUGAUGUGAAAGCCCACGGCUCAACCGUGGAGGGUCAUUGGAAACUGGGAGACUUGAGUGCAGAAGAGGAAAGUGGAAUUCCAUGUGUAGCGGUGAAAUGCGUAGAGAUAUGGAGGAACACCAGUGGCGAAGGCGACUUUCUGGUCUGUAACUGACACUGAGGCGCGAAAAGCGUGGGGAGCAAACAGGGAUUAGAUACCCUGGUAGUCCACGCCGUAAAACGAUGAGUGCUAAGUGUUUAGAGGGUUUCCGCCCCUUUUAGUGCUGAAGUUAAACGCAUUAAGCACUCCCGCCUGGGGGAGGUACGGCCCGCAAGGGCUGAAAACUCAAAGGGAAUUGGACCGGGGGGCCCGCACCAAGCGGUGGGAGCAAUGUGGGUUUUAAUUCUGCA